GGUUUCCCCUUCAUCUGAACAGAUUCUGCAAAAUACCAGUUGGUUGGCUUCUCAUCCUUCACCUUAAAAUCAAGGUCCAAAACAACUCAAAGUUAAUAUUUACCCUAUAAUAGAAUUCAUGUUGGGCAUGAAGAAAGUAAACCACUACAUAAUUCAAUUUAUAUUAGAAAGACAAAGAGACUGAGUNNNNNNUGAGUCGAUACCUUGGAACCGCGAGGAAGACAAGACCUGCCACCAUCUUGUUUCUUACAUUGUACCUAUCCAAACUUAACAUAGAGAAAUUAUAUAUGCUGAAAACUAUUCAAUUCAAACAUUGUUAUGCUCCCUGGUAACAACUUAAUAGAGAAUCACAAUUUAAAUCAAAGAUCAAAUCUAGAAACACACACACACACACACACACCCCAAUACAGUUUUAGAUAAAACUAAAAGAUCUAUACUUCUAUAUCUAAUUAGCAGAGCUUAUUCUCGAUUUAGCAGAGCGCAAC
rnacentral:lncRNA from 1 species